rnacentral:rRNA from 1 species
CCUACGGGAGGCUGCAGUGAGGAAUAUUGGUCAAUGGGCGUAAGCCUGAACCAGCCAAGUCGCGUGAGGGAUGAAGGUUCUAUGGAUCGUAAACCUCUUUUAUAAGGGAAUAAAGUGUGGGACGUGUCCUGUUUUGUAUGUACCUUAUGAAUAAGGAUCGGCUAACUCCGUGCCAGCAGCCGCGGUAAUACGGAGGAUCCGAGCGUUAUCCGGAUUUAUUGGGUUUAAAGGGUGCGUAGGCGGCCUUUUAAGUCAGCGGUGAAAGUCUGUGGCUCAACCAUAGAAUUGCCGUGGAAACUGGGAGGCUUGAGGAUGUUGGAGGCAGGCGGAAUGCGUGGUGUAGCGGUGAAAUGCUUAGAUAUCACGAAGAACCCCGAUUGCGAAGGCAGCAUGCCAAGCCAUGACUGACGCUGAGGCACGAAGGCGCGGGGAUCGAACAGGAUUAGAUACCCCUGUAGUC